GACAAAUUGGUUUUCUGGCAGGCCACUUGUGAAAGUAGACAUUAGAACACUUUUGGGUGUGUUUUGUCAUGAAAUGUUAUCCGGAACCAUUCAUGGGAUUCAAUCGAGAUGCCUGACAAUGGAGAAGAUACAGUGCUUUCACCUUUUUCCAUGCAAAAAGAAGGGUGUCUUGGUACAAGAAGAAACAGCAAGUUUGCAAAGACAACUUAAGGAACAUUGGCCCUUUUUCUGAAUUCAGAAGACACAGCCUGAAGAUAGUGCCCUUUAUCUCAAGAAGAUUGAAAAGAAAAUAGAAAGAACCAGCAGACGAACUAAGUACUGUGGGAAGAAUAUAAUAAGAGAAAAUUAUAGUCAGUAACCGGUUUGCACAGAAGAAUGUUAUGCACACAGGGUGCUUAAUCUCUUCAAAGAGACAAUAUUAAAACGACAUCAAAUUUUAAUUCAUACUACUAAGAAAUACCCAUUAAAUUGAUAUUUUACACAGGUUUUAGUGAGCACUAGAGAAUGGGCACUGUAAAUUGGUGUAAACUGUAUUGAAAUGUUUUGGACAUAAUUAAACACAUCUUUAAACAUAUAAAAAUAGACCUAGAAAUUAUGUUUUUAGGAUUGCAUCGGAGCUAUCCACAGCAAGACUUCU